rnacentral:tRNA from 1 species
GGGGCCAUGGGGUAGCUUGGUCUAGCCUCCUAGCAUGGGGCGCUAGAGACCCGAGUUCAAAUCUCGGUGGCCCCA